ACACACAAGGAACGUCUCCUAACUAGGGGUUACAAGAACCUUGUCUUAGAGGACUCGUGUCGCUCCCAGAUGAUGCAAAAAAACCCGAUGUAGUCUUUCUUUUCUCUAUCUCUUCCUCUCUGUGUCUCUCCCGAUGAUGAAGAAAAUUGUAUGCAGCCGACUGGAGCACAGUGAGGAUCAGGCACUCAUGUCGGAGAAAAAGAAUAUCAAUAAGCCUCAAGAUCCAAAUCCGAGAUUUGCUAGCCAAGGUUGCAGCGUGUUGCUCGAUGUUAACGAUGGAGACCGUCUCGUCUUCGCUCGUCUAUCUAGUGGCGGAUGAGUCUUCUUCUUCUUCCAGAUUGAUUCUCAAUAUUGAUUGAAUUUAGUUUUUGAUUGAUUUAAAAUCGGGAAUACAAAUUACUCGUUAAAGCCAUUGAUCGGAGCUCCGUUUGGAUCUCUGUUCCAAGUCGAAACCGGAGAAGAUGGUUCUUUCCCCUCUCGCAUUCUUCCCAUCAAAAAAGGUUUUGUCUUUUUCUCAAAAUCACAUUAAAGAAUCGUUUUUCUGUUUGUAUAUUUAUAAUGUUUGGUUAUAGAUUUGAUUGAACUGAUGUUUUGGUAAUUCCAGAAAGUAGCAGCGUUAAUGUUAUAGACGAUGCUAGAGAUAAUAGAGAACUUAUUGACGAUAAUGAAUCUCAAAACUUCACUGCUGAAAAGAUUGAAGCUAUGCGGACGUUUGAACAAGACUUAAUUUCUCUGUGUGUUUAUAUAUAGAAGAAUCUGCUAACUUUUGUUAAUGCGUAGAGAGGGUGCAAAAGGGGAUGAGAUUAUUGAAGCACUGAUCGCAAACAGCAAAACAUUUGACAAGAAGUUUCAGUUGUCUUAGCUUAGAAAAAAAUAUCUGCCUAAGAAGCAGAAGAAGUAUGUGCGAAAGUAUCUCGCAUACUCGGAUGUGCUUGUGGUGGAUAUGGUUGGUGGUCUUGUCACUGGUGCAGUGGCUGAACGUCUAGGAGGCACUGGUUAUGUUUGCAAUACAUAUAAGGGAGAUUCUCUCUCUCUCUCUCAAAUUAAAAACCAUAUGUAGUUGAACAUUGUGUAGGCUCGUGCAUUCAUCUAUAAACGAGCUCUCAUCACCCAAAGUUGUACACCCUAAAGAAAACAAUCAACAAGU